rnacentral:rRNA from 1 species
UGGGGAAUAUUGCACAAUGGGCGAAAGCCUGAUGCAGCGACGCCGCGUGAGGGAUGACGGCCUUCGGGUUGUAAACCUCUUUCAGCAGGGACGAAGCGCAAGUGACGGUACCUGCAGAAGAAGCACCGGCUAACUACGUGCCAGCAGCCGCGGUAAUACGUAGGGUGCAAGCGUUGUCCGGAAUUACUGGGCGUAAAGAGUUCGUAGGCGGUUUGUCGCGUCGUUUGUGAAAACCAGCAGCUCAACUGCUGGCUUGCAGGCGAUACGGGCAGACUUGAGUACUGCAGGGGAGACUGGAAUUCCUGGUGUAGCGGUGAAAUGCGCAGAUAUCAGGAGGAACAGCGGUGGCGAAGGCGGGUCUCUGGGCAGUAACUGACGCUGAGGAACGAAAGCGUGGGUAGCGAACAGG